GGCAAAGGCAAAGAACAGGGAGCGGACAGUCUUAUUUCUCCCCAUCGCUUACACCCUCAGCUGUUACCGAGACCUGGUUGUUGCUACACAUCAAGCCUGGAGAGUGCUAGCUCUAUUUCCUGGGCCACGAGCUGCCAUGGACAGCAUAGACCACUCCAAUAUCAAAGCCGCAGGAUGAGGUGUGCCACUCCAAGUCACGUGUCUACAGAGCAGGCCCAGGUUUCAGGUUUGCAGACAUUUCCUGGGGCACACGCUUGCCAGUGCCUGUCUCUCUGAAGAAGGUGUUGAAGGAGUCAUCUCCUCUUCCAAUGGUCUCGUCACUUGGCAUCUGGUCAUCAAGCUGGAUGUCGUGUUCCAGGCGGUGGAACUCCCAGCAGGCACUGCCCAUCUGGACACCAACAUGGUCAACAUGGAUAGAGAUGCACUCACUCAUGGUAGCUUAGAAGGUGAGGGUGACAGAAACAGACACCAGGUCCCAGGUCCCGGUUACCUUUCCUGACAGCUAAGCAUCGAGCAAAUGGAGACACUAUAGAAAACCGCAGCUGGACCCACCACCAGUUGGAUACAUCUGCUUCACAGUUCCUGCAUCUACGGCUCAGAGAACAUUUCAGAAGAGGGGGGUGGAAAGAUUGUAAGGACUGGAAUUCCAGGAAGUGUGCUGUAAGACAGUCUCCCUUAGAGAUGGCUGCAUAAACAAGACCCGAACAGUGGCAAUUAUCCAUAGACACGCUGAUGCAGAAGGGAGAAGAUCUCACUGGGUCCUUCCCACCCCUAGACAAGGAACUAUAGGAAACUGAUGACUGCUGGGAGAGGAAGAAUUAACAUCUGCCAGGGAUGAGCCCCCUAAUUAGUUGUCCAAUACAGAAUGGUCAGCCCUGAAAUGACAUAUGCACAAGCAAUGAAAUAAACUCAGUAUGCUGUAUUUAUAUAUCAGUGUACAUGUGCACAUCGUGGUAAUAAUCAGAAAGAAGACGAUAUCAAUUUGAGAGGGGGACAUGGAAGAAGCUGGAGGGAGGGGACUUGGGAAGGGAUGGA